rnacentral:tRNA from 1 species
GCCGAAGUGGCGGAAUUGGCAGACGCGCACGAUUCAGGGUCGUGUGCCCGUGAGGGCGUGUGGGUUCAACUCCCAUCUUCGGCACCA